GCAGCCAGAGGCACCAUGACUUGGAAGGCCCUUCUCAUCAGCCUCCUGGCUCAUUACACAGGUUCUGUAGCCUCUUAUGUACUGACUCAGCCAUCCUCAGUAUCAGUGACCCCAGGACAGACGGCCAGAAUCACCUGUGGAGGAAACAACAUUGGUAGUAAAAAUGUGUACUGGUACCAGCAGAAGCCAGCACAGUCCCCCCUGCUCAUCAUCUAUGGUGAUAGCUACCGGCCCUCAGGGAUCCCUGACCGAUUCUCUGGCUCCAACUCUGGAAACACAGCCACCUUGGCCAUCAGUGGGGCCCAGGCUGGAGACGAGGCUGACUAUUACUGUCAAGUGUGGGAUGGUAGUGCUGUUCACAGUGACACAGGCAGACAGGGAAGUGAGACAAAAACCUGCCACCAGCCUGACACCAAAGGCCACUUCCUGCCCUGGAUACCCUGA